rnacentral:rRNA from 1 species
GCGGUGGAGCAUGUGGUUUAAUUCGAAGCAACGCGCAGAACCUUACCAGCCCUUGACAUCCCGGUCGCGGAUCGCAGAGAUGCUUUCCUCAGUUCGGCUGGACCGGUGACAGGUGCUGCAUGGCUGUCGUCAGCUCGUGUCGUGAGAUGUUGGGUUAAGUCCCGCAACGAGCGCAACCCCCGCUUCAGUUGCCAACGGUUCGGCCGUGCACUCUGGAGGAACUGCCUGUGACAAGCAGGAGGAAGGUGGGGAUGACGUCAAGUCCUCAUGGCCCUUAUGGGCUGGGCUACACACGUGCUACAAUGGCGGUGACAGAGGGAUGCAAUACCGCGAGGUGGAGCAAAUCCCUAAAAGCCGUCUCAGUUCGGAUUGUUCUCUGCAACUCGAGAGCAUGAAGUUGGAAUCGCUAGUAAUCGCGGAUCAGCUCGCCGCGGUGAAUACGUUCCCGGGCCUU